UUGAAAAGAGAGCCGGAGCCGGAAGUCCGUCCUCUUGCUCUGCAGCCUCAGCCAUGGACGGAGAGCAGACCUGCUCCUCGUCAUGUCUGAACACCACGAAGCCAGAUCCAUGUGUAUAACCUUCAGCACGGAGGUGUGCAGAUGAAGAUGGCAAGCUCGAUCUACGAUUGGUACACCUGAUAAAAUGUCAGGUCACCACUGCAAACGAUAGAUGGCCGAUAUUUGGUCGUGACCAUGUGAAACUUAAGCUGCAUUUGACGUGCUGCAAGUCUGGAGAUGCACCAGAUGUGUAAUCAUUUCUCUCGUGUACUGGUCAAGAGGUGAGCUGUUAGUACCAACAGAACAAAAACACUGAAGUGUUUGCUUCAUCUCAUCUAUGGGUUUAUGGAGCCAAGCAGCUGAGAUUGCUUAUGGAGCAGCUUCAUUUGAAAGUGUUGCUGGAGCUGAUCGCCGUUUGGAGGAAGUCAUGAGUUAUUUGCCAGAUUUCUUUUUGAAAUUUGAUGCUGUCCAUUAAUAAAACCUGUCUGCAAGAACAA